AGAAAGAAAUUCUAUGUGAUUUCAGGAAUCUGAAAGGGCUGUAAGUAGAGAAGAGGGGCUUGCUCUUGCAAAAGAUCUUGGAUGUUUGUUUCUUGAAUGUAGCGCUAAAACUAGAGAAAAUGUGGAGCAAUGCUUCGAAGAGCUAGCAUUAAAGAUAAUGGAAGUUCCUAGUCUCCUGGAAGAAGGUUCAACUGCAGCAAAGAGAAAUAUUUUGAAGCAGAAACAGGAAAAUCAAGCACCUCCUAGCAGCGGUUGUUGUUCGUAAAAUGCCGCCAUUUGCAUUGCACCUUAUAUGAAGCUUGACUCACAUCAUGAACAGAUCAUGUAUAUGUAAUUUCCAUUUUUUUUCCUCUUACUGCUGGUGUCUAGUUAUUGAGUUGCAUAAUUGUUUGUUUCAUUUAAAAUAGACAAAUUGCCACUCAAAUAGCAUUCAUAUUAGCUUGUGUAAAUGUGCUUUCCCUGUUUUUCAGCCAUGUUAUGAAACCAGAAUUGCUUGUAUUUUUCACAUAAGAAAAAAAAAAAAUUACAUGA